GACGAACGCUGGCGGCGUGCUUAACACAUGCAAGUCGAACGGAAAGGCCCCUUUGGGGGUACUCGAGUGGCGAACGCGUGAGUAAGACUAGAGCAACCUGCCCCUGACUUCGAGAGAACUUCAGGAAAUUGGGGCUAAUACUGGUAAGGAAUCCUAGCUUUAUGGAGGGGGUUGGAAAGUUUCGGCGGUUUUGGAUGGACUCGCGGCUUAUCAGCCUGUUGGGGGGGUAGUGGCUUACCAAGGCUUUGACGGGUAGGCGGCCUGGGAGGGCGACCGGCCCCAUUGGGACUGAGGGACGGCCCAGACGGCUACGGGAGGCAACAGUGGGGAAUAUUGCACAAUGGGCGGGAGCCAGAUGCGGCAGCGCCGCGAGCGGGAUGACCGGCUUGGGGUUGUGAACCGCGUUCAGCAGGGGAGGAGCAUGUGGUGACGGUACCUGCAGAGGAAGCACCGGCUAACUACGUG
rnacentral:rRNA from 1 species